rnacentral:rRNA from 1 species
GACGAACGCUGGCGGCGUGCUUAACACAUGCAAGUCGAACGGAAAGGCCCUGCUUUUGUGGGGUGCUCGAGUGGCGAACGGGUGAGUAACACGUGAGUAACCUGCCCUUGACUUUGGGAUAACUUCAGGAAACUGGGGCUAAUACCGGAUAGGAGCUCCUGCUGCAUGGUGGGGGUUGGAAAGUUUCGGCGGUUGGGGAUGGACUCGGGGCUUAUCAGCUUGUUGGUGGGGUAGUGGCUGACCAAGGCUUUGACGGGUAGCCGGCCUGGGAGGGUGACCGGCCACAUGGGGACUGAGGUACGGCCCAGACUCCUACGGGAGGCAGCAGUGGGGAAUAUUGCACAAUGGGCGGAAGCCUGAUGCAGCAACGCCGCGUGCGGGAUGACGGCCUUCGGGUUGUAAACCGCUUUCGCCUGUGACGAAGCGUGAGUGACGGUAAUGGGUAAAGAAGCACCGGCUAACUACGUG